UUUUUUAAAUCUAUAAAACAUGUAGGGCGAUGCUGAGGAGUGGUUUUGUCCGUAUCUUAUCAGAAAGGAAGAGGCCCGAUAACUUAAUCACGGUUUUGAAAUCCCGGUGAAAUUUUAAAAGCGAUGAAACCACUGAAACCAUUUUGAACCGCGCUUGAAUUGUGUGUGCUGGGUUGUGAUGUGAAUCAAUAAGACAUGCAAUCCUCUAUUGUUGGUUCAACAGAUCAGAUCGGGAAAGGUCUGAACCGGCCCUCUGAUGAGGUUCCCAAUCGGGUAUGAAAACAUUGACCUUAAACGAAAGAUGUGAAGAAGGGAUAGCCUUUUUUGGCGUAUUGAUCAACGUGUGAGAGUGGAUGUGGUAAUUUUGUUUCCUGUAAGGCCAUUAAAAUGGAGAACAAUUUUAUUAAAGUAGCCAGCCAGUAAACUUAAUUCGCCAGAAAAUGGGUCCCUAGAAAAGCAAA